GUGUGGCUUGGCGGCAGAGCACCUGCUUUACAUGCAGGUUCCAGGUUCAAGUCCUGGCAUCUCCA